rnacentral:rRNA from 1 species
UUGUUGGUGAGGUAAAAGCUUACCAAGGCUUCGAUCAGUAGCUGGUCUGAGAGGACGGCCAGCCACACUGGGACUGAGACACGGCCCAGACUCCUACGGGAGGCAGCAGUGGGGAAUUUUGGACAAUGGGGGCAACCCUGAUCCAGCCAUGCCGCGUGAGUGAAGAAGGCCUUCGGGUUGUAAAGCUCUUUCAGCCGGAACGAAACGGUUACGGUUAAUACCCGUGACUACUGACGGUACCGGAAGAAGAAGCACCGGCUAACUACGUGCCAGCAGCCGCGGUAAUACGUAGGGUGCAAGCGUUAAUCGGAAUUACUGGGCGUAAAGCGUGCGCAGGUGGUUUUGUAAGUCAGAUGUGAAAUCCCCGGGCUUAACCUGGGAACUGCGUUUGAAACUACAAGGCUAGAGUGUGGCAGAGGGGUGGAAUUCCGCGUGUAGCAGUGAAAUGCGUAGAUAUGUGGAGGAACACCGAUGGCGAAGGCAGCCCCCUGGGUCAACACUGACGCUCAGGCACGAAAGCAUGGGGAGCAAACAGGAUUAGAUACCCUGGUAGUCCAUGCCCUAAACGAUGUCAACUAGUUGUCGGGCUUUAACGGGCUUGGUAACGUAGCUAACGCGUGAAGUUGACCGCCUGGGGAGUACGAUCGCAAGAUUAAAACUCAAAGGAAUUGACGGGGACCCGCACAAGCGGUGGAUUAUGUGGAUUAAUUCGAUGCAACGCGAAAAACCUUACCUACCCUUGACAUGUAUCGAAGCCCGCAGAGAAGCGGGUGUGCCCGAAAGGGAACGAUAACACAGGUGCUGCAUGGCUGUCGUCGGCUCGUGUCGUGAGAUGUUGGGUUAAGUCCCGCAACGAGCGCAACCCUUGUCAUUAAUUGCCAUCAUUUAGUUGGGCACUUUAAUGAGACUGCCGG